rnacentral:rRNA from 1 species
CCCUUAGACGUUCUGGGCCGCACGCGCGCUACACUGACCAGUGCAACAAGCAUCCGUCCUUGGCCGACAGGCCCGGGCAAUCUUUGAACGCUGGUCGUGAUGGGGAUAGACUUUUGCAAUUUUUGGUCUUCAACGAGGAAUUCCUAGUAAACGCAAGUCAUCAACUUGCAUUGAUUACGUCCCUGCCCUUUGUACACACCGCCCGUCGCACCUACCGAUCGAAGGUAAUGAUGAGCCCUCAGGAUUGUGGCCUCGUCGCGUCAGCGUCUUGGCUGCGAGAAUCUGUGCAAAUCCCUACCUUUAGAGGAAGGUGAAGUCGUAACA